UCCCCAAUAGCUCAGUUGGUAGAGCUAUGGACUGUACUCUCUUAAUAAAAGCAUGUGUCGCUGACUGGCUUUUCAAGCCCAGUUUGGGGAGCCA
rnacentral:tRNA from 1 species